rnacentral:rRNA from 1 species
UAGGGAAUCUUCGGCAAUGGGGGCAACCCUGACCGAGCAACGCCGCGUGAGUGAAGAAGGUUUUCGGAUCGUAAAGCUCUGUUGUAAGUCAAGAACGAGUGUGAGAGUGGAAAGUUCACACUGUGACGGUAGCUUACCAGAAAGGGACGGCUAACUACGUGCCAGCAGCCGCGGUAAUACGUAGGUCCCGAGCGUUGUCCGGAUUUAUUGGGCGUAAAGCGAGCGCAGGUGGUUUGAUAAGUCUGAAGUUAAAGGCUGUGGCUCAACCAUAGUUCGCUUUGGAAACUGUCAAACUUGAGUGCAGAAGGGGAGAGUGGAAUUCCAUGUGUAGCGGUGAAACGCGUAGAUAUAUGGAGGAACACCGGUGGCGAAAGCGGCUCUCUGGUCUGUAACUGACGCUGAGGCUCGAAAGCGUGGGGAGCGAACAGGAUUAGAUACCCUGGUAGUCCACGCCGUAAACGAUGAGUGCUAGGUGUUGGAUCCUUUCCGGGAUUCAGUGCCGCAGCUAACGCAUUAAGCACUCCGCCUGGGGAGUACGACCGCAAGGUUG